rnacentral:rRNA from 1 species
UAUUGGACAAUGGGCGAAAGCCUGAUCCAGCCAUGCCGCGUGUGUGAAGAAGGUCUUCGGAUUGUAAAGCACUUUAAGCUGGGAGGAAGGGCAGUCAGCGAAUACCUUGCUGUCUUGACGUUACCGACAGAAUAAGCACCGGCUAACUCCGUGCCAGCCGCCGCGGUAAUACAGCGGGUGCAAGCGUUAAUCGGAAUUACUGGGCGUAAAGCGCGCGUAGGUGGUUUGUUAAGUUGAAUGUGAAAUCCCCGGGCUCAACCUGGGAACUGCAUCCAAAACUGGCAAGCUAGAGUAGGGCAGAGGGUGGUGGAAUUUCCUGUGUAGCGGUGAAAUGCGUAGAUAUAGGAAGGAACACCAGUGGCGAAGGCGACCACCUGGACUGAUACUGACACUGAGGUGCGAAAGCGUGGGGAGCAAACAG